rnacentral:rRNA from 1 species
AANCCUGCAUGUCUAAGUAUAAGCAACUUGUACUGUGAAACUGCGAAUGGCUCAUUAAAUCAGUUAUCGUUUAUUUGAUAGUACCUUACUACAUGGAUACCUGUGGUAAUUCUAGAGCUAAUACAUGCUAAAAACCCCGACUUCAGGAAGGGGUGUAUUUAUUAGAUAAAAAACCAACGCCCUUCGGGGCUCCUUGGUGAAUCAUAAUAACUUAACGAAUCGCAUGGCCUUGCGCCGGCGAUGGUUCAUUCAAAUUUCUGCCCUAUCAACUUUCGAUGGUAGGAUAGUGGCCUACCAUGGUGGCAACGGGUAACGGGGAAUUAGGGUUCGAUUCCGGAGAGGGAGCCUGAGAAACGGCUACCACAUCCAAGGAAGGCAGCAGGCGCGCAAAUUACCCAAUCCCGAUACGGGGAGGUAGUGACAAUAAAUACUGAUACGGGGCUCUUUUGGGUCUCGUAAUUGGAAUGAGAACAAUUUAAAUCCCUUAACGAGGAACAAUUGGAGGGCAAGUCUGGUGCCAGCAGCCGCGGUAAUUCCAGCUCCAAUAGCGUAUAUUAAAGUUGUUGCAGUUAAAAAGCUCGUAGUUGAACCUUGGGUCUGGCUGGCCGGUCCGCCUCACCGCGAGUACUGGUCCGGCUGGACCUUUCCUUCUGGGGAACCUCAUGGCCUUCACUGGCUGUGGGGGGAACCAGGACUUUUACUGUGAAAAAAUUAGAGUGUUCAAAGCAGGCCUUUGCUCGAAUACAUUAGCAUGGAAUAAUAGAAUAGGACGUGUGGUUCUAUUUUGUUGGUUUCUAGGACCGCCGUAAUGAUUAAUAGGGAUAGUCGGGGGCGUCAGUAUUCAGCUGUCAGAGGUGAAAUUCUUGGAUUUGCUGAAGACUAACUACUGCGAAAGCAUUCGCCAAGGAUGUUUUCAUUAAUCAGGGAACGAAAGUUAGGGGAUCGAAGACGAUCAGAUACCGUCGUAGUCUUAACCAUAAACUAUGCCGACUAGGGAUCGGACGGGAUUCUAUAAUGACCCGUUCGGCACCUUACGAGAAAUCAAAGUUUUUGGGUUCUGGGGGGGAGUAUNGNUCGCA